GUAGUUCAGUGGUAGAAUACAACCUUGCCAAGGUUGGGGUCGCGGGUUCGAAUCCCGUC
rnacentral:tRNA from 1 species